rnacentral:rRNA from 1 species
UGGUGGAGUGAUUUGUCUGGUUAAUUCCGAUAACGAACGAGACUCUAGCCUGCUAAAUAGUUCACGCAUGCUGAGCAGUGCUCGUGAACUUCUUAGAGGGAUUCGCUAUUUUAAAUAGCACGAAAUUGAGCAAUAACA